AUGGUGCAAUCUCAGCUCACUGCAACCUCUGCCUUCUGGGUUCAAGUGAUUCUCGUGCCUCAGACUCCCAAGUAGCUAGGAUUACAGGUCAUCUGAAUAUCCAGGCACAACCCAGGCAUACUAGACCUUGAUCACACUGGAAGUGCGUGACCAUGGGGAUGUGGUGUGUAAAGCAAGAAAACAUAGGGACAGAAAUACAACACUGGAGAGAUCACUUGAUGUCAUUUCUGAUGGCUUUUAUCCAUCCUGCCCAAAUAAAAUAAACAAAUUACCCUGCUACUUUA
rnacentral:lncRNA from 1 species